GGGCAGGUACUCAAGUGGUCAACGAGGGCAGACUGUAAAUCUGCUGCGUCAGCUUCGAGGGUUCGAAUCCUUCCCUGCCCACCA
rnacentral:tRNA from 1 species